rnacentral:rRNA from 1 species
UGGCGGCGUGCUUAACACAUGCAAGUCAAGGGGGCCCAGCAAUGGGCAACCGGCGAACGGGUGCGUAACACGUGAGCAACCUACCGAGAUAUGGGGGAUAGCCGGCCUAACGGCCGAGUAAUACCGCAUACGCUCUCGAUGAGGCAUUUCAUUGAGAGGAAACCUACGGGGUAUUUCGAGGGGCUCGCGGCCUAUCAGCUAGUUGGCGAGGUAACGGCUCACCAAGGCAACGACGGGUAGCUGGUCUGAGAGGAUGGCCAGCCACAUUGGGACUGAGAUACGGCCCAGACUCCUACGGGAGGCAGCAGUGGGGAAUCUUGCGCAAUGGCCUAACGGCUGACGCAGCGACGCCGCGUGUGGGAUGAAGCUCUUCGGAGUGUAAACCACUGUUGCCCGGGACGAAUAGCUCGAUUAAUCGAGCCUGACAGUACCGGGUGAGGAAGCACCGGCUAACUCCGUGCCAGCAGCCGCGGUAAUACGGGGGGUGCGAGCGUUGUCCGGAAUCACUGGGCGUAAGGGGCGCGUAGGUGGUUUGAUAAGGGUGUGGUGAAAGUCCGGGGCUCAACCCCGGAUCUGCCGUGCCGACUGUCAAACUCGAGGACUGUAGAGGCAGACGGAAUUCCGGGUGUAGCGGUGGAAUGCGUAGAGAUCCGGAGGAAGACCGGUGGCGAAGGCGGUCUGCUGGGCAGUUUCUGACACUGAUGCGCGACAGCGU